UGCUCCGACAGAACCAGCGUGGCGUCGUCGUUGUCCAGAUACCCGCCGGCCGCCGCAACGUACCGGUAGUAGUUAAUCGGCUGAUCGUGCCCGUCGAUCAGCACGAGCACGUCGUCCCGCGUAUCGGU
rnacentral:rRNA from 1 species